AUUGAACGCUGGCGGCGUGCCUAACACAUGCAAGUCGAGCGGCAGCGCGGGAGCAAUCCUGGCGGCGAGCGGCGGACGGGUGAGUAACGCUUGGGAAUCUGCCUGUUAGUGGGGGACAACCCGGGGAAACUCGGGCUAAUACCGCAUACGCACUACGGUGGAAAGCCGGGGACCGCAAGGCCUGGCGCUAACAGAUGAGCCCAAGUCGGAUUAGCUAGUUGGUAGGGUAACGGCCUACCAAGGCGACGAUCCGUAACUGGUCUGAGAGGACGACCAGUCACACCGGAACUGAGACACGGUCCGGACUCCUACGGGAGGCAGCAGUGGGGAAUAUUGGACAAUGGGGGAAACCCUGAUCCAGCGACGCCGCGUGGGUGAAGAAGGCCUGCGGGUU
rnacentral:rRNA from 1 species